GAUGAACGCUGGCGGCGCGCCUAACACAUGCAAGUCGAACGGUUAAAGCACCUUCGGGUGUGUAUAAAGUGGCGAACGGCUGAGUAACACGUGGGCAACCUGCCCCUCGCACCGGGAUAGCGAUUGGAAACGAUAGCUAAUACCGGAUAGGUGGCACCUUCGCAUGAAGGGGCCAUUAAAGUUGCUACGGCAGCACGAUGGGAUGGACCUGCGGUGCAUUAGCUAGUUGGUACGGUAACGGCGUACCAAGGCGAUGAUGCAUAGCCGACCUGAGAGGGUGACCGGCCACAUUGGGACUGAGACACGGCCCAA
rnacentral:rRNA from 1 species